AUUGAACGCUGGCGGCAUGCCUUACACAUGCAAGUCGAACGGUAACAGGUUAAGCUGACGAGUGGCGAACGGGUGAGUAAUACAUCGGAACGUGCCCAGUCGUGGGGGAUAACGUAGCGAAAGCUACGCUAAUACCGCAUACGAACUGAGGUUGAAAGCGGGGGAUCGCAAGACCUCGCGCGAUUGGAGCGGCCGAUGGCAGAUUAGGUAGUUGGUGGGGUAAAGGCCUACCAAGCCGACGAUCUGUAGCUGGUCUGAGAGGACGACCAGCCACACUGGGACUGAGACACGGCCCAGACUCCUACGGGAGGCAGCAGUGGGGAAUUUUGGACAAUGGGCGCAAGCCUGAUCCAGCCAUGCCGCGUGCGGGAAGAAGGCCUUCGGGUUGUAAACCGCUUUUGUCAGGGAAGAAAUCUUCUGAGUUAAUACCUCGGGAGGAUGACGGUAUCUGAAGAAUAAGCACCGGCUAACUACGUGCCAGCAGCCGCAGUAA
rnacentral:rRNA from 1 species